rnacentral:rRNA from 1 species
GCCAAACAGCUAGCUUAACCACCAAAAUUAACACAAAAACAUAAAUAACCGACAAUUGACCUACAACAAAUAAAUUAAACCAUUUUACACAUCUUAGUAUGGGAGACAGAAAAGAUAAAUAUAAAGCAAUAGAGAGAGUACCGUGAGGGAAAGCUGAAAGAGAAAUGAAACAAUCCAUAUAAGCACUAAAAAGCAGAGAUUAAAUCUUGUACCUUUUGCAUCAUGAUUUAGCCAACACUACUAAGCAAAGAGACCUUUAGUUUAAGCCCCCGAAACCAGGUGAGCUACCCCGAGACAGCCUAUAUAAAAUAGGGCCAACCCGUCUCUGUGGCAAGAGAGUGGGAAGAGCUCCGGGUAGAAGUGACAGACCUAUCGAACCUGGUAAUAGCUGGUUGUCUGGGAGAUGAAUAAGAGUUCAGCUUCGUGUACCCCAAAUUAUAUUAAACUAAAAUAGAUUUACUCUAGCCACAAAACCAAGAGAUACACACGAAAGUUAGUUAAAGAAGGUACAGCUUCUUUAACAAAGGAUACAACCUUCACAGGAGAAUAAAGAUCAUAGUACACAAAACACAUUGUUUUAGUGGGCCUAAAAGCAGCCACCUAAAUAGAAAGCGUUAAAGCUCAAACGAAAAGAAAGUUCAUAAUACUGAUAAAAUAAAUCUUAUUUCCCUAAUAGUACCAGACUAAUCCAUACAAAUAUGGAAGAAAUUAUGCUAGAAUGAGUAACAAGAAGAACUCGCCCUUCUCCCAGCACAAGUGUAAGCCAGAUUGGACCAACCACUGGCAAUUAACGAGCCCAACCAAAGAGGGCAAUGUGAAUUAAUAACUAAGAAAAACACACAAUCAAUUAUCGUUACCCCCACACUGGAGUGCAUAUAAGGAAAGACUAAAAGAAUGGGAAGGAACUCGGCAAACACAAGCCCCGCCUGUUUACCAAAAACAUCGCCUCUUGACUCAACUAAAUAUAAGAGGUCCAGCCUGCCCGGUGACAAUAGUUUAACGGCCGCGGUAUUUUGACCGUGCAAAGGUAGCGCAAUCACUCGUCUUUUAAAUAGGGACCUGUAUGAAUGGCCAAACGAGGGUUUAACUGUCUCCCCUUUCAAGUCAGUGAAAUUGAUCUAUCCGUGCAGAAGCGGAUAUAAUAAUACAAGACGAGAAGACCCUUUGGAGCUUAAGGUACAAGACUUAAACACACCAAACAAACCAAUAAACGUAACGAAUACAGUGAAGUAUAAGACUCUACCUUCGGUUGGGGCGACCAAGGAGUAAAAAAUAACCUCCAAGUGGAACGGGUAAACCCUAAAACUAAGAGACACAUCUCUAAGCCUCAGAACAUCUGACCAAGUAUGAUCCGGUCAAUAAAACCGAUCAACGGACCAAGUUACCCUAGGGAUAACAGCGCAAUCCUCUCUAAGAGUCCAUAUCGACGAGGGGGUUUACGACCUCGAUGUUGGAUCAGGACAUCCUAAUGGUGCAGCCGCUAUUAAGGGUUCGUUUGUUCAACGAUUAAUAGUCCUACGUGAUCUGAGUUCAGACCGGAGCAAUCCAGGUCAGUUUCUAUCUGUAAAGCUACUUUCUCCUAGUACGAAAGGAUCGGAAAAAGGGGGCCCCCACUUAAAGCACGCCCCACCCCAAAUUUAUGAAUAAAAAUAAAUAAAAUAAAGGGAGAGCUAAAAUCUAACCCUAAAUAAGGGCU